rnacentral:rRNA from 1 species
AUGCCAUGCAUGUGUAAGUAUAAACAGAUUAUAGUGAAACUGCGGAAAGCUCAUUAAACCAAUUAUCAUUUACUUGAUGAUGACUAGUACUUGGAUAGCCGUACUAAUUGUAGAGCUAAUACAUGCUAAAAGACACGACGCAAGAAGUGUUGCAUUUAUUAGAGACAGAAUCAAUUCCACGCAAGUGGGUUUUUGGUGAUUCAUAAUAACUGUGCUGAUCGUGGCGUUGCCGCGAUGGUUCAUUCAAGUUUUUGCCCUAUCAAGUUUCUUUCGUAGUGUAUUGGACUACGGAGCUAGCGACGGGUAACGGAGAAUUAGGGUUCGAUUCCGGAGAGGGGGCUUGAGAAUUGGCCACCACUUCCAAGGAAGGCAGCAGGCGCGUAAAUUGCCCAAUGACAAUUCGUCGAGGCAGUGACAAAGAAUAACAAUCUACAGGACUAAGUCUUGUGGAAUUGGAAUGAGAACAAUCCAAAAACAUUAUCGAAUCCAUUAGAGGGCAAGUCUGGUGCCAGCAGCCGCGGUAAUUCCAGCUCUAAUAGCGUAUAUUAAAGUUGUUGCAGUUAAAACGCUCGUAGUUGAAAUUCGGGUUGUUUGCAGCGCUGCGUCAUGUGACGUUGGUGUUGCGGCAGCCAUUGUGUCGGGUGGUGGGGGUAGGUCCUUAAGUGGGUCUGCUUUUUGGCACCCGUUGUUUACUUUGAAAAAAUCAGAGUGUUCAAAGCAAGCGUUUUUGCAGUGCAUGUUUCAGCAUGGAAUAAUGGAAUACGACGACGGUCGUGUUUUGUUGGUUCUAAUGGCCGUUG